CCUUGUCUCUCUUCUUAAUUCUCUCAGAUUGGCAUGGCGUGGUGGAUGUGCAUCUUGAUAGCUCUGAUGCCAUUUCUUUCUAUCACACUCUCUCUAUCCAUCUCUCUUCUGUCUCUGUCCCUCUCCCUUUGUUUCUAUAAGUCGGUUGCACGCCAUGUUACACUUUUAUGCCUUCUUUUUCACUCAUUCUCUCCUCAUCGUCUAUGUUUUGUGUUUUCGUUACCUUUGUAACUUCUCCUCCCCUCAUCUUCCAUUGUUCUUCGCCUACAAGUACAUCCAGAAGCCUGUUGUUCGUCAGACUGGAGGAUCCUAAUAUGAUUGGUGCAUGGUAAAGCCCUAAUCAAUUGUGACCGACCUUUCUUCCUGGACCCUCUAUCUUUGUCAUCGCAUGAAUUGUUAUUGCGGGGUGGUUAAAGGAUCAUCGAUUGCCCUUAUUUUAGGUUCUAUGCCUACAACAAAGAUGGUGAUACACAUGUGAAGGCUAUUGACAUGAUAACGGAUGGCUGCCACAAACUCCAUGAUCUUUGUCAACCUUCCACCUUCACAGUGGGUGUCAUGGUUGACAUGUAAACUUGCUGAUCCAUAGUUUUGGAGGACCCGAGGCAGCACGUUGAUAAGAUGACUUCACUCACAUCUUACUAGGGAGGUUUUGGGUCUUUUGUAGUGCCGGCGCAUCACGAUUUGGUCUCUUCGAUGUCAUGUCUUUGUUAGGCAUCAAAGUUGCAGUUUGAGGCAUUUUUGUCAUAUGUGUUAACGUAAUUUUUGUAUGAAUGAAGUUGAUUAUAUAAUGAAAAGUUGCCCUAUUGUUUUGAAUUGCAUAAGUCAUUUCUUUUUGAAUUGUUGUGUCGUCGCACCUCAAUGUUUUAUGUUUAGAAUUUUUUUUUUA